rnacentral:lncRNA from 1 species
UGCAGUGUUUGUGGGGGAUGAAAAAUGUGAAAUCAUGCAUGCCAGAAGGUUCAUUCCAGACAAAUGUUGCUCAGAACGAUCAGUGCUUGUCUCAGCAUACAUUUUACAAGCCAACCUGUCAAGAUAUGGAAUAACCCGACAAGGUUUUUUCCCUUUAAAUAACUACUACUACUUUUAUUGGCUAUUGCUUAUUAGUAUUAUUCUCCUAGGAUUUUUAAAAUGUAACAUUUAAGAAUUGAGAAAUUAAAUAUUACAGUACUUAAUCUUAUACCAGCAUCUCUUAUUCCCCUUUCUUUCCCCUGCAACAGUUUUACUGCUUUGAAAUAAAUUGGACUGAUAUACUUCUUUAAGGGAUUCAUUAUUUAGUUAAUACCAUAGUACAAAAAAUUGAGUUUGAAUCUAAUUUACUCUUUAUGUAUUAAAUAUUAUUAAAAUUUAUGCUUCUUUACAUAAAAAAUUAUAUUUUUUACUCCUUACUUAAUAAUAUACUGUCAAACUCAUUAUUAGUUGAAAUUUAUUAUUACUCACAAAAUAAUGAGUCCCACUCUAUUUAACAGACUCGUACAUAAUUGAAGUUUUGAUCAAUUUCAGCUGAUUAAUAACUAGAAGAGUUGAAAAAUGCAUUAAAGAGUUAAUUAUCCACAUUUCUUUUUCAUAUCAUCAUAAGUUUAUAAUGCAGAUAAUAACAUAUCUUAUAAUUUGAAGGGUUUCAAAGAUGAGUAUCUUAAACAUAUUAGUUAAAAAAAUGUUAUUGUAGCAGUAAAUGUUAUUAACUGGUAAAAAGAACUUAGUAGCAUUUACAUAGUUUAAGAAUCUACACGAGUGUACCCAUCCUCAAAUGUUUAGUUAUAUGAAACAAGAGUAGCAGAGCAUGUGUGCAGCUGAGAUUUCAAUGACAUACAGGAAUAGAGUGUCAUCUGUAUUAGAAAAGUCUGAGGAAAGCCGCCAAGUGUGAUUUUUUUUAAGGAAAAAGAAGAAGGAAACAAAUUAAUCACUUGGUUUUAUCGUUAAAGUCAUUAUUAAUAACCGCAAGAGCAAGUAAUCCAAGGAAGGGGACCAAGUAAACGUAAUAAAUAUGCAUUUUAAACAGUGAAAAUAACACUUCGAAAGAGGGUGGUGUGGUGCUGAGUCUCUUUGUCAGCAACCUAAAACAGACAAACUUUUGUCUUUAUUCUGCAUUCAUUAGUCUUUUGUCAUUGUUCUGUAAUAUUGUAAUAUUGUAGGAUUGUUAUCAAGGGUGCAGUGAUCAUAGAAAAAAAAAGAUUCCAACUAAGUAAAAAAUUUCAAAACUGGAAUAUUAUAAGACCAAGAUACCUCAAAGAACUGAAUUCACC